rnacentral:rRNA from 1 species
UACGUAGGGUGCAAGCGUUAUCCGGAAUUAUUGGGCGUAAAGAGCUCGUAGGCGGUUUGUCGCGUCUGCUGUGAAAACCCGAGGCUCAACCUCGGGCCUGCAGUGGGUACGGGCAGACUAGAGUGCGGUAGGGGAGAUUGGAAUUCCUGGUGUAGCGGUGGAAUGCGCAGAUAUCAGGAGGAACACCGAUGGCAAAGGCAGAUCUCUGGGCCGUAACUGACGCUGAGGAGCGAAAGCGUGGGGAGCGAACAGG